UGAUAGCUGUGAAGCGUGAGGUUGCUGUCGGGAUGCAAGUUCAGGCAGGUUUUCCGUGGAGCGAAUGUCAAGUUAGGAAACUGACGACAA
rnacentral:ncRNA from 1 species